rnacentral:lncRNA from 1 species
UCAUUAUUUUACCACAGGAAAAUAAUUUUAUAAUAGAAACUUUAAAAAGUGAAAGUAAAGGAUAUUUAAAAACUGAAAUGAAUGUAAAAGAACAUAAAUGUUCUGAGUUUUAGCUUUAAGUUCCGGGAUACAUGUGCAGAACAUGCAGGUUUGUUACAUAGGUAUACAUGUGCCAUCAUGGUUUGCUACAUCUAUCAGCCUGUCAUCUAGGUUUUUAGCUCAGCAACCAUGUGACUGAACUUGGAAGCAGACCCUUUAUCCCCAGUUGAAUCUUCUUGAGAUGACUGGAACCCUGGCUAACAGCUUAAUAAUCUCCAGAGAUAAUCUGGGCAAGAACCACUCAGUGCCUUCUGGAGAACUCGCUGGCCAGAGAAGAUAAUCUUGAAGUGAAGAUACAGGAUAAUCAGGGCUUUCCACCUACAGGACAGGCUUCAAAUCCUUUAGGGUCAAGAUCUGAUUUGCUAAUCCUCUGAAGUCAACUGAACUGAUGUAGAGAGUUCCUACCAGUUGGAUAGGAUACUGUAGACCAUGGCUUUUUAACUCACUUAGUGGAAAUUGCCAUCUUAU